AACGCGAAGAACCUUACCUGGUCUUGACAUCCACGGAAGUUUUCAGAGAUGAGAAUGUGCCUUCGGGAACCGUGAGACAGGUGCUGCAUGGCUGUCGUCAGCUCGUGUUGUGAAAUGUUGGGUUAAGUCCCGCAACGAGCGCAACCCUUAUCCUUUGUUGCCAGCGGUCCGGCCGGGAACUCAAAGGAGACUGCCAGUGAUAAACUGGAGGAAGGUGGGGAUGACGUCAAGUCAUCAUGGCCCUUACGACCAGGGCUACACACGUGCUACAAUGGCGCAUACAAAGAGAAGCGACCUCGCGAGAGCAAGCGGACCUCAUAAAGUGCGUCGUAGUCCGGAUUGGAGUCUGCAACUCGACUCCAUGAAGUCGGAAUCGCUAGUAAUCGUGGAUCAGAAUGCCACGGUGAAUACGUUCCCGGGCCUUGUACACACCGCCCGU
rnacentral:rRNA from 1 species